AUCUCAAUGGCACGUUGUGUCCUUGUAAGAUGAAAUUAUUAGAAUAGCUCGUCUUUGCUGAAAAACAAACUCUUCAUUCUCCCCCAUGACAUAUUCUGGGUGAAUAGUUUCUGCUAAACUAAUCUUUUAGAUGUUUGAAUAUUAAAAGUUAGAAUCUUCUGCUAAUGUCCUCCUACAUUUCUUUAUAGGAGUCAGUUCUAUGUCCUUAUUGAGCCCUGGAGUUCCAGUUGCUAAAGAUGUCUACAUCAGCCACACCUUAGACUCCAUGACCACGACGUUUGUGUACAAUGGUUGCAAUGGAUCCCUCCAGAAGGCUCCAUCCCCCAUCACUACUGGUUGAAGGCGUCUUCACAUCUUGACACACUAUUGCAAUUACAGGUGAGAUAAGACACAAGCGGCAUUGGAUUGAGAAUCAGCAAGGACCAGCAAUUUCUCAGAAAACACAACC
rnacentral:lncRNA from 1 species